AACAACUCACCUGCCGAAUGAAUUAGCCCUGAAAAUGGAUGGCGCUUAAGCGGAUGACCGACACCAUGCCGUCUGAAUGAUAAAAUUUUCAGAUGAGUAGGAGGACGUGGUGAUCGUGACGAAGUAUGUGUGCGAACACGUAUAGAACGAUCACUAGUGCAGAUCUUGGUGGUAGUAGCAAAUAUUCAAGCGAGAUCCUUGAAGGGCGAAGCGGGGAAGGGUUCCACGCUAACAUUGAUUGGGCGUGGGUGAGUCGUUCCUAAGCCGAGUGGCAAUUGCUAAGUAACGGCGAAAGGGAAGCAGGUUUACAUUCCUGCACACGGAUGUGGAGGCGGUGACGCUUUAUUGAGGCGAACACAUUGGCGAUGGCGCUAGGCAGAGUUGUCUUUUCUGUUUAACCGUUUGUAUAUAUUGUGUGGAGUCCGAUUAUCGGGAGAAACACAUAUAUACGGGCAGAGCGCCGGGGCUUAUCCGGCGUCUAGCUCGCCAUCGACGAUCCUUGAAACUUUGCCUGCUGAAAUUUUAAUAUCCACGCCGUGGCGUACCGAUCACCGCAUCAGGUCCCCGAGGUGAACAGCCUCUGCUCAAUAUGAAAAAU
rnacentral:rRNA from 2 species